rnacentral:rRNA from 1 species
UACGGAGGGGGCUAGCGUUGUUCGGAAUUACUGGGCGUAAAGCGCACGUAGGCGGCUUUGUAAGUUAGAGGUGAAAGCCCGGGGCUCAACCCCGGAAAUGCCUUUAAGACUGCAUCGCUUGAAUCCAGGAGAGGUGAGUGGAAUUCCGAGUGUAGAGGUGAAAUUCGUAGAUAUUCGGAAGAACACCAGUGGCGAAGGCGGCUCACUGGCCUGGUAUUGACGCUGAGGAGCGAAAGCAUGGGUAGCGAACAGG